CAGCCGCCGCGGUAACACGGAGGGGGCUAGCGUUGUUCGGAAUUACUGGGCGUAAAGCGCACGUAGGCGGCUUGGUAAGUUAGAGGUGAAAGCCUGGAGCUCAACUCCAGAAUUGCCUUUAAGACUGCCGAGCUAGCAGGUGAGAGAGGUGAGUGGAAUUCCGAGUGUAGAGGUGAAAUUCGUAGGUAUUCGGAAGAGCACCAGUGGCGAAGGCGGCUCACUGGCUCAUACUGGACGCUGAGGUGCGAAAGCGUGGGGAGCAAACAGGAUUAGAUACCCGUGUAGUCCCUGUCUCUUAUAC
rnacentral:rRNA from 1 species